rnacentral:rRNA from 1 species
CCUACGGGAGGCAGCAGUGGGGAAUAUUGCACAAUGGGGGAAACCCUGAUGCAGCGACGCCGCGUGAGUGAAGAAGUAUUUCGGUACGUAAAGCUCUAUCAGCAGGGAAGAAAAUGACGGUACCUGACUAAGAAGCCCCGGCUAACUACGUGCCAGCAGCCGCGGUAAUACGUAGGGGGCAAGCGUUAUCCGGAUUUACUGGGUGUAAAGGGAGCGUAGACGGCAGCGCAAGUCUGGAGUGAAAUCCCAUGGCUUAACCAUGGAACUGCUUUGGAAACUGUGCAGCUAGAGUGCAGGAGAGGUAAGCAGAAUUCCUAGUGUAGCGGUGAAAUGCGUAGAUAUUAGGAGGAACACCAGUGGCGAAGGCGGCUUACUGGACUGUAACUGACGUUGAGGCUCGAAAGCGUGGGGAGCAAACAGGAUUAGAUACCCUAGUAGUC